AUCACGAGGCUGGCUCUUGGGUACAUGCGCACAAAGGCAACGACUUGAUUGAUUACCGAUGUUGACUAUGUCUAUAUAAGACCACCUGGAAAAACAACUUUGACUUGCACCAAGAGACACAUUCAGAAUGCCCUUUCCUUUGCCCAUGAUGCUACAAGGCAGGCCAUCAAGUGGAAACAGGGGACCAUCGCCAGGCCAGUUCUGUGGUGCCUGUGGACAAAGGCAACGGCUCGAUUCAGUACCAGUGUUCGCUGUGUCCCUACAUGACCACCCGGAGAGGCAACAUUCGUCUGCACCAAGUGACGCAUUCAGACCAGCACCCUUUCCUCUGCCCGCUGUGCUUCAGGGCCUUCAAGCGCAAUCACCACCUCAAACGCCACCUGUUGAAAAAGCACCCUCGCCUCUGAUGUGAUUGCAGGCAAGGGAGGAAUGUUGUGUGCCGACACUGGUCAAGCCAGUCAGAUAGCCUCUGUUGCUGGGAGGGUAGCUCGUGUUCCUGCAUCAUCGCCUCGCAAAUUUCGUUCUUUUUAAAAUAUUUUCUACUACUAAGCCCCUUUUCAGAUUUCUUGCAGUAGAAUGUUUCAUGGGUGGCACUCUACACAUUCCAGUGUAUAAUCAAAAUUUUUGAUGAAGCCUGAUGCGAUUCUUGAACUGUGGACUGCACCUAUAGAGAUGACCUUGCAAGUGCCCAAUAUUCUCGUGUAAUAGCUCUGAUGCUGUACAUGAAUUCUGUGGAAGCAGGCCUGCAAGAUCCUAAAUGUUAGAUGGCAUAUUGCUUGGUUAUUCAGCACCAUUUUAGAACCAUUUUUACGAACUAUCUGCCGCAUAUUUUCUGGUGUUAAGCCAGCAGGUCACUGGGUUUGCUUUAUGGCCCCAUUCUGCAGAGCAUGAAGCUGUGGGAAACAAUCCGCAUUGGGGGGGCACUACUGUGUGUGACAGUUGCAAACUCUGAAUGUGCUGGGUAAGAUUUAUGAAGCUUUGUGUAUUGCUGAAAGCAGCAGCAGAUUCAGUGUGCUGAGGCCAUGGGGCUGAUGAUGUUACAACAGUGGGAAUUAAAUGCCCAAAUUGUGGUGGCAGGUUGGGCUUAAAUUUUUUUUUUUUUUGACAUAGGGUAUAAGAAUGCCUGUGUGCCCUUAUUUAUGUAGAUCAUUAGUAUGUGCUACAUUAGUACCAAAGACUGAACCUUUAAAGCACUUUAAGCGGCACCAUGCCAAACCUGUAAUCUUUGAAAAUGUGUUAUUGAAAUGGCUACGUUAAUUCUUGUGCGCCAUGAAUGUACAAACCAUGAAAUUGUAUAGGGUGGGAAUGCAUCGGGGAGGUCCUACUGCAUAUGGGACAUGCUGCUUUAUAUUGUCACUUUGUAGCGACAUUGAACAGCCAUAGUAGCUCAAUACAAGUCAUGGAACUAACUGUUUAUUCGGUGAACCUGUACACAGCAAAACAAGUAACACGGAAUAGCGGUAGUGGCGAGCACACUUGUCAAUUGUUGAAAUUUGAUCUGCGGUUCAAGUGCAUCGGCAUUUAUGCAUGACACGUUGAAGGUUCCAGCAUGAUAGUUGGUGCCUGCGUGCGUUCCAGAAAGUAGGACGCAAUUGGCGUCACGCAUACAACCUGAUUACAUAAGGUUCGGUGACAGCGUACAAUGCAUAGAACCUGAAAUAAUGUUCGAGAAACUUCCGAUACAGAAAGGCAUGUCUUGUGCUGAGCGAUACCUUUAAAGAUUUGUUAGCUGGUGAAUUGCCAUCACCGUAAACAGACAAGCAAGUGUGCACAUCAAUUUAACCUUCUCAUUCUACUGUAGAACGAAACAGCAUACUAAAUAAAAUUGCAGAUCAAAAGUAAUAUAAUUGUUCAAGUGAAUUGUUUAAAUAGAUAUAAACUUAUGAUGCUGGCUAGGACUUAAAAAGAUUAGAGAAUUACACCUUUGCAGUUUGGGCUGCGUGGUAUAGCUCGCAUUUUCAAAAAUUCUGCAUCGCUUUUCUAGUCAGGUGUGGCUUCGCUUAGUCCUUUUCCAAGAUUCAACGAUUUACACUAAAGCGUGUGUUAGGGAAAGAAUUCUAGGAGGCCAUCGAAGCAGAAAUUUGGCAGUAAUGCUAAAUGUGCCUGCUGUUCUGGUUGGCUUUUUAAAAACUUAUUUUUAUGUCUGGUUGUUAUUAGUACUUGUUGGUGUCGUUUGUCUCGUUGCCAUGGUAACUGCACGUGUAGCAAGAAACAACUUCCACAUUUAACCAUGGCACAGAGGUUUUCUGUGGGUGUGGCUUUAAACAAUGUAUGUCACUGUGCCAUUUCUAUUCACAGUGAUAUAGUAUAUUCAUGGACGACUUUCUGUGGCAAUAAAGCAAUGUCUACAGAGGCAAUGCUUUUGCAAAUACGUUACUGUGCCAAGUAUUUGAGCUAAGUUGGAUGGCGCUUUCUGUUUCCGUCUAGUGGAGCAGAUCCUGAAUCAGCAUAACUUUCACUUGUUGCAGUGUUGCGUUCACUAAAAUAUGGAGUAACAAAGUGAA